rnacentral:tRNA from 1 species
UCCCUAGUGGUCUAGUGGUUAGAACUCAGUGCUUUCACUACUGCGGCUUAGGUUCAAUCCCUGGUCUGGGAA